UUGUUUCCAAAUGUCAGAGGCUCAUUACCAAAAGCUGGCCUGGCACUUUCAGUGUCACUCCAGUGAACUGGCAUUUCUUUUCCAGAUUUCCCACGUGAAUCUACACCAAGCUCAGCAGAGAGUAGAAAUAGUCAUCCUGCUACAAGGGGCCUGCAUGGAAGAAAUUUGUGGAGCUGAGUAUAGUGCCUAGAGAUGGAUGAGGCUGUGCUGGAAUCUCUCAUGUGCUAAUCAACCCACCUGCAAUAAUACAUAAACACACACUAUUUCAAGA